AGUCACGGAUCAGGGCUAUCGGGUUGCCAUACGCGGUCGCGGAGACCUGCACGCUCGGGCUGCCGCUCACGAUUGCGGGGAUCAGGGCUCUCAGUUUGCCAUAUGCAGUCGCGGAGACUCAUAGCAAACGGCUACAGGGAUAGAAGACCAUUAUUCUGCCUUCCACCUGUUGGCGUGCCCCGGCCCCCGCAGGGGGCGCGGCGCACCCAUACGUUUCAGAAAGCGGCAGUUGGCAAAGAGUUGCACAACACGUGUUCCCCGCUCCUGCCGACAGCACACAGGCAUUAUUUAAGCCAUCUGUUACACGAAGCUGUUGUACACCAGGAAGAAGAGCUGUUGUACACCAGCGACGAAGUUCCGAUACCCGGCUCGAACAUGAUAGGCACAGUAACUGGACUAUAAUCAUAUUUCGCACACUUAAAUAUGUAGUAUCGAAUUCGCUGCGGAAGAAAGACAAGCAGGCCGAUAAUGGAGGCCGAUGUCAUCGCAUAGGCUGAGGCAGGGUCAAAUGAGUAACCAGAGCGGUUUAUUUCUCCAACAUCAGCACCUAUGUAAGUGUCAAAAGCCUCGCAGGUGCGCGAGCUGCGAGCGCGAGCAUCUGUCCUUAAUACUGCCGUGCUGGCAGCCCCACAACGUGAGAGCAAUAAAUCUGAGACUCUGUUAUCAGUACAUUUGCAAAACGUGUAGGGCUGAACGGUUUCGCCGCAAGGGCGAACUUGAACUUACUUCGCGACGUCCAACCGUCCGACGUCCAACGCACAGCCCCAACCCCCCAGCACCGGCACCCAGAUCAAAUAGUACUUAUAGCGGAGUCUGCAUCUCACGGUGGGGGACGGUUUGACGGGUUUCGAUCAGGGGGGGUUCGGCAGAUGGCGAGGGUGCUGGGCCGAGCUGCGGGCACGCGGGGGAAAAUGCGCGCGCGACCUCGCAGCUUGACAGGGCGUCGGCCCAGUUAAUAAUUACAUGAAUACGUAAGUACUUAGAAGCUAUGCGGGCGAACACGAGCGAUUUUGCGUCCAUUGGAUCCCAUUUCCCCAGACUCCAUUUCCCCGAUGAGGUGUUGGGCCCCGACCCCGACCCCGACCCCUCCCCGGUCACCGGUCCGGGAGGUUGUGCGCACGCCAGCAUCCGCAGUACCUUUGGUCCAACGUAUGUCACGACUCUGGCACUCUGAUCAUACUCCGACUUCAGUCGCCAUGACUACAUGCGCCUCCAGGGGCCUCCCCUGUACGCCUCCUUUCACCUCUACGCCACUAAGGGCCACUACCUGCACACGCCUCCUCUCGUGCUCAGCAUUACAACACCGUACGUUGCGUCCCCUGUCAGUUGACUCCCUUAGGGGCACGCCCCAUGGAUCGCAUGGCGGUCCGCUAGUACCGCUACGUGUUUACCGCAUAGCUAGCACAAGUAACAGUUUUACAGACUGACUGCGUAACCCUAGUUUUGCCGCUUCAUCAUCAGCCCUAAUGCCCCUGUACAAUACCCUUUCCAUACCCCCUCGCAAUUCCCAGCUAUGGCCGGGUGCGCACGGACCGGGUUAGACGGUGAGCGACCGAUGCUGCCGUACACAGCAGUGCUGUCACGCCAGCUCGUGUGACCGGACACGGCGAGGGAUAGUGCCGGGAAAGCUGCCUAACGUCAGGGUUAGGGUUGUUGCGGCUGUCGGGUUUAGGGCAGUGUCAGUGCGGAACGGGUGCCUCCCGGGCUCCGGACGGUAGAAGGCUGAGUCAUUGCUAGCCUUACUUUGUUGUGCUUUAUGAGUGUGAAGUACGUUGGAACGCAGUUUGUAGAUGCCGUUAUGACGUGGUUAUGACGCGGCUAAGGAUUUGCGUAUCCGGAUGAGGCGAUUCCCCCUUGGGGCGAUUCCCCCUUGGGGCGGUUGUUUGUGUGGUCACUAGCUCGAGACGACUUGUUCUGUCUCGAGCUCUCUGGUACGGCUUGCUGGUUAGCGAUUUCACAGACAGAACCCCGCUGCGCCUAUACACGGCCAGCGGUAAUACGCGUUUAGCUCGGAAUGUGCCUAAUUGCCAGCCUACCCCAAUUUGGCCCACUUGCCCGUGCGGCUGGCCCGCACGGAUUCAGAGCCUGCCUGAUUUAAUAUUGCAUGCUUAUAUUAUAUAAGGAUUAUCCAAGGACUGGGAGGCCAGUAAGAGGCCGAUUCCCGACCAGUCCCCGAAAACGGCCCUGCGCGCCCGCCCGAUUAUUUGGCCCACUCGCCAGAGCCCACGCCCUGGUCCUCAAAAGCCUGCCUGACCGCCCAGUUCUCUGCAUAUAUAUUAUCAUUUACAUGUAAGUGAUAGCUUAGCAAGCUUAAAUGGGUAAACUAGGGCUGGCCCUGCCGGGCUCGGUGCGGCGGGUGCCACUCCGGCAAGUGCCUGGGGACUGCAUGAUUCCAGGCCCCUAUAGCAUCGAAAUGGCAUCAUGUGACAUAUGUAAAGGUCUCUGGACGGUUUCUGGACAUAAAUUGUAGCGAAAACAGAAGUCAAAAUGUCAAAUGUCGCGCUCGCUAGGACCCAGCCAAUUCGCCUCGAAGCUAUCUAGCUUACAUCUAAGUGUGCAGAUAUAUCGACGGCAUGAAAUCCAGGAACAAAACACCGCCUAUGCGAGAUAUGGCAUGUGGAGCAGACGGACUGCAGGUUGCCUGGUCUGCGCAUUUAAUAUCUUAUGAUGUUUGUCCUUUAGUGAUUUGUGCAAGCCAGAAUGCGCCUGCAGACGACAAACAAAACAACAUGCUGAGCAUUCAAGGCGCGAUGUGCACCCAGAACACUCCCAAUCCUGCCCGGACGGUUGCAACAAUCCUCAUAUGACAUCUAUAGGGUAUCGAAAUCGGCAAAUCGCCAGCAGGGAUGACCAAAACGCCUCGCGGCCCGGUGGGCCAAUUUGGGGUCGCCCCUCAGUUUUCCCCCCAAAACCCGGCCCCCAGAAUUGACUCGCCCACCGCGCCCUUUUGACCCCCAACCCGUGCAAUAAUCUUAUAUAGUGCUUACAUCAAUAUUUAGGCAAGCGUGGGCGCCUAGGAAGCCCUGUAGCGGUCUGGGCCAAAAGUGGGCCAAAUAUGGCACAUUCCGAGCUAACCAACAAGAGGUCUUACACGAAUCGAUAUCUCGCCAACCUAAAUUAGUCUGUGCGCUCAGCAAGGGGCAGUGAGCCACGCAGCACCACAUCAGCCAGGGCACGUCAGGAAUGCGUUAUCACGCGUUAGGGCGUGACAGUGCCGCUGCUGAGCUGUGAGGGGCGCCGCAGGGUCCAGCUGCCGCACAUGCCGGCUGCGUGCCCGUGCUGGGAGCUGCCGUGGGCGGGCUGACGGGUCACGCUCGUUGCCAGCCACGGUUGCCGGCACCCUCCGGCACACGCACGCUCGUAGUCACGGAUCAGGGCUAUCGGGUUGCCAUACGCGGUCGCGGAGACCUGCACGCUCGGGCUGCCGCUCACGAUUGCGGGGAUCAGGGCUCUCAGUUUGCCAUAUGCAGUCGCGGAGACUCAUAGCAAACGGCUACAGGGAUAGAAGACCAUUAUUCUGCCUUCCACCUGUUGGCGUGCCCCGGCCCCCGCAGGGGGCGCGGCGCACCCAUACGUUUCAGAAAGCGGCAGUUGGCAAAGAGUUGCACAACACGUGUUCCCCGCUCCCGCCGAGUGCAUACAAGCAAUAUUUAAGGCCUCCGUCACACGAAGCUGUUGCACAUCAGGAAGAAGAGGCCCCAGCGACGAAGUUCAGAUACCUGGCUCGAACCCGACCGUGAAAGUGACUGAUGCUGAAACAGGUAAUACUGAUGCUGACACAUGUAAUAUACGCUUAAACGCAUAGAAUGGAGUCCGAUGCCUCAACAAAGUCAAUGUUGAGGCCGAUUGUAUCGCAAAGGCUGGUGCUGUUCGAAUUGAUUUAUGAGGUUCAUAAAUUGCUCUAAAAUAAGCACUUGUGAACCUUUCAGAAGCCUCGUAGGCGUGUCAGCUGCGAGCGCGAUCAUGUGUCCUUAAUACAGCCGCGCUGGCAGCCCCAUGUAGUGAGACCAAUAAAUCUGAGACUCGUUCAUCAU
rnacentral:lncRNA from 1 species